UACAGAGGGUGCAAGCGUUAAUCGGAAUUACUGGGCGUAAAGCGCGCGUAGGCGGCUGAUUAAGUCGGGUGUGAAAGCCCCGGGCUCAACCUGGGAACUGCAUCCGAUACUGAUCGGCUAGAGUAUGAGAGAGGGAGGUAGAAUUCCACGUGUAGCGGUGAAAUGCGUAGAUAUGUGGAGGAAUACCGGUGGCGAAGGCGGCCUCCUGGCUUAAUACUGACGCUGAGGUGCGAAAGCGUGGGGAGCAAAC
rnacentral:rRNA from 1 species